rnacentral:rRNA from 1 species
CCUAUUUUCGUUGGUUUAGAGUACUUCAGUAAUGAUGAAUAGAAACGGUUAGGGGCAUUUGUAUUUGGUCGCUAGAGGUGAAAUUCUUGGAUUGA